UGCCCUCAGGGAAGGGGGUGGCGGGGAAGCAAUAAAGUAAUCACAGAAAGUAAACAGAAAAGAUACUUUUCAGAUACUAAUUCGGGCCUGGCAGAAGAGGGGAAGGAGUAACAGAUACUGAGUAGUGGUAGGAAAAAGGAGAUUGUUGCCUGCAAUCCGGCAGGAUCCUAAGAAAGGCCUGUCUGAACACCUCAAAGACACACACUAGCUGGUCCUCGGAUGCCAUGGGUCAAGUCAAGCCAGGGUCUCAAAGAGGAGCCUGGACGUCAGCCCUGGCACCAAGCGAUACGAAUGCAGUCGGUUCACCCGGCUGGUCUUCAGAUUCUGAAUAUUCUCCAUUCCCACAACACCAAACGAGGCCCAAGACGCCAAGAAACCCACAAAGCUCCGGCUGGGAAAUAUGUUUGUAAACCAGCGCUCCGCUCCAUAAAUUAUUAUAAUUCUUGGUGCUUUCUCUAUCCAUCUAGCAGAUCAGCAAUCACAUAAAUAAUAGUGAGUGGAAUGAUUUUUCUUCU